rnacentral:rRNA from 1 species
AUUGAACGCUAGCGGGAUGCUUUACACAUGCAAGUCGAACGAGUGGCGGACGGGUGAGUAAUAUAUGGGAACGUGCCUAGUAGCGGGGGAUAACUACUGGAAAGGGUGGCUAAUACCGCAUACCAUCGGAUGGGCCGAGAUCGGAUGCGCUGGUUGGUGGGGUAAAGGCUCACAAAGGCAACGAUCCGUAGCUGGUUUGAGAGGACGACCAGCCACAGUGGAAAUGAGAAACGGCCCAGACUCCUACGUGAGGAAGCAGUGGGGAAUUUUGGAAAAUGGGGGAAACCCUGAUCCAGCCAUACCGCGUGUAUGAGAAGGCCUUCGGGUUGUAAAGUACUUUUGGCAGGGAAGCGUUAUCUGCAGAAGAAGCACCGGCUAACUACGUGCCAGCAGCCGCGGUAAUUC